rnacentral:rRNA from 1 species
GACGAACGCUGGCGGCGUGCUUAACACAUGCAAGUCGAACGAAGUGGCGAACGGGUGAGUAACGCGUAAACAACCUGCCCUUCAGAGGGGGACAACAGUUGGAAACGACUGCUAAUACCGCAUACUGAAGGAGGGGAUUGCGUCUGAUUAGCUAGUGGGAGGGGUAACGGCCCACCAAGGCGAUGAUCAGUAGCCGGUUUGCUCGGAUGAACGGCCACAUUGUGACUGAGACACGGCCCAGACUCCUACGGGAGGCAGCAGUGGGGAAUCUUCCGCAAUGGACGAAAGUCUGACGGAGCAACGCCGCGUGAGUGAUGACGGCCUUCGGGUUGUAAAGCUCUGUUAAUCGGGACGCGGUACCGGAAUAGAAAGCCACGGCUAACUACGUGCCAGCAGCCGCGGUAAUUC